rnacentral:lncRNA from 1 species
GGCGACUUGUCGAUUUAUUGCUCUUCCCUUACAAGGUAUGAUAUUCUUCUUCCCUUCGUAUGUGUCCUCUUGCAAACAUGCAGUUCUUGAUUUGGUUGACGAAAGUAGUCUAGGAUUUGACUAAUUCUCUUCGAAAAUGGAUUAUAUUAGUUUGAUUAGGUAAAUAUCUUCCCUGACAAGAUCAGAUCAAUUUCCCCACCCUGUGAUAUUUGUUUGAUUUCUUGAAUUUAGCCAAGCGCCUUUGCCAUGUGCCCCUAAUUCCCCAUCAUUCUUUUUGUCACAGCUUGUCAGAAGUUGAAAUUCCUUUCGGCAUAGAUCCCAACACCUUGGUAAUACUUGAAUUUGUCCUUGCAUCUUCAAUAAAUCAAGCACUGGAUUCACUAAAUCUAUUCAAGAGUUAAAAUACUUUGUUUUUAUAUUUUUCAGUGAGAUUUCUUAGCCGCUCGAUCGCCUGAUUUUAUGUACUUUUUUUCAAUAAUAUGAAACAAUCUUUUUUAUAACUUAUUAUAACCGUGAUUGGGAGUAUCUGCCCCUGCGUAUGUACUCUUAGUGAUCCUGUAGUAUUUUGCGUAUGUCUUUUGCUGCAGUAUUUCCUAAUGGUAACAUGUAUGGUUCCAAAUUCCUAAUUUCAUAUGUAAUAGUUUUCCACACAAUUCUGUAACGCAAUCAAGUUUCUGGUUGCAGCAUCUUGGAACAUUAAUUUUAGGGAACAAAAUCCUCCAUGUUUUGUCUUUAACUAAUGGAUAAUAACAAUGAAAAUGCUCCGUUAGACGACCCAUCAUUUGAUAGAUAGCACCUGCAUAAAAAGGCGUCCAGGUGUUAUCUAGAAUCCUAGAUAGAAACUGCAUAAAAAGGCGUUCAGGUGUUAUCUAUUGUUUGUAAUGGAGUGCAUGAUAAAGUUGUUCUAUAUUUUUAAACAACUUCCUUUUAUUUUGUGUAUCAGCUGAGUUAGUCUACGUCGUUGAAUUGCAUUUUUAUCUAAAUAUACAUUGCAAGUAAAGUAAAGUUCAAU